UACGGGGGGGGGUAAGCGUUGUUCGGAAUUACUGGGCGUAAAGGGCUCGUAGGCGGCCAACUAAGUCAUACGUGAAAUCCCUCAGCUUAACUGGGGGAACUGCGUGUGAUACUGGAUGGCUUGGAUUUGGGGAGAGGGAUGCGGAAUUCCAGGUGUAGCGGUGAAAUGCGUAGAUAUCUGGAGGAACACCGGUGGCGAAGGCGGCAUCCUGGACCAAUAUUGACGUG
rnacentral:rRNA from 1 species